GUUAAUGUAUCCUCCACCUAAGGAGGCAGAAAUCUCAGGAAAUGUGGAAGGGGUACAGAUGACACUCAGCACUACAACGGGCGUCAAGGAGGACCCCUGGGAGGAGAUGAAUUGUACUUAACUCCUUCAUAGAAGUCAGGGGGGAGGUGACACCAAAAAUUAGAAUUUAGGGAUGUGGAAGAACCCCUACAGAGAGAAAACUCUGCCCAAUCCAUGGAAUGCAGGUCAGGCUGAAGAAACUAGAUUCACUGGUCCAAAUCCCCAAGCAGGGUCAGAAUGGACCUGGAAUGAGGUUGACCUGAGCCAGGUGAUUCUGUUAAAGUGGUUCAAAUAUAAAUAAUUCUGACCUUCCAUAGGCCAAACCCCAGCCCCUAGGAGAGCCCAGAACCGCACCAGUUCCCUGGGCAGGGAGAGUGAGCCAGAGCAAGUGAUCAUCUGCUACAAAUGUGUUGCUACAUUUCUCUUUAGAAAAAAGGAAGGUGUUCCAGACAUUCAUUUCUUAUUGUUUGAGCUGCAAAUUUCUGUUUUUAGCAAGAAAAAUGAUUGUGGUUCCCAGUGAGACACGAUUCCAGGCAGAACAAAGUGAAUGUGUAAUGCUUCCAACUAAGAAAUGCUUUGAAGUUUGUCAGACACAGCCAGGAGAAGCUCCCUCAGGACUCCUGCUGUCCAUUUUCCCCACACACGGGAUAUGGUGCCACUCACUAAUUAACUGUUAUAAAGGAAUCAGUGCUGAUGUUGUUGAAGGAUUGUGCUCAAUACAGAAAGCAUCUUUUGUUGUCACUUAAGUGAAAUUUGAACUCAAUAAUGCCUUGCUUUUCGAAAGAAAAAAAAAUAGACAGUGGUUUCUACUUGGCAGCAGUUUCAAGUUAGAUAGUGCAUAUCUUAAGCCAGAGAAUGUAAUAAAACAAUACCAAAAAAAUUAAAGGUCCUAGGGAAGUCUAGCAAUGGGGGUCAGUGGUCCCAAGUCUGCUGAACUGGCUACUAGAAAAGAAACAAUACACUCUGGAGUUUUCUAAGGUAAGAGAAGGCUCUAGAGAAGCAGGAUGGGAGACUACAAUGUGGUAGGCUCCUCAAAGAAUAGUCUGGAAUAGGAUAGUCCUGAGUGUAUGAAAUGAAGGAGGCAGAGUGUUGAGGGCAGAGGAAGACAAAGGACAAGCCUCGGCAGGCAUUUCCAGACCUCAGGUGCUGUGGGGAAAGCGGGCAGGGGCUUUGUGUGCACGGGGAAAUAAAGAGGGCCAACACUAUUCUAAUAGAGGCAGGGCAGAGAAAUUCACAUUUUUAAAAUAUAAAAAUAAAAAUCUUAGUAAAGUUUUAUAAAUUCGAGCAAUUCAGGCACUUGCCUUUAAACAUUUUUGACUUUACAAUUUCUUGCUGAAGUAAAAGCUUAUCCACAUUCCCAAAAACAUUAGUGGCUGACUUCCCUGACCUCUCUCUGUUCUUUGCCAAGUUCUUCCUGUUAAUUCGGUUCCUCUGCUUUCUGAUUUACUGGGUCCACUACUUCUCUGAGUGGGACAUGCAUAGCAUCUGAUUCUAGGUGGCCCACAGAUAAACUUUUUCUUUUGAAUUGCUUUUAAUAGAGAUCAGAAUAGUACAAGUAGGUCAUCAAAACCAUAUGACUAAGUUUCCUUAUAAGUUAACUUAUAAGUUAUAAGAGUGACUAAAAUUAAAGAAAUUAUUUAGCAAAUUGUAACGGAUGGAUUAUAGCCCUAAAAAAGGAGAUGUGUUAAUUGCAAAACUCUGAGCAGGUGCAUUCCAUCAUUUUUUAAAAUGAAAAGAUUAGGAGCAUCCAGACUAUUGCCUACAUUUUUAGCCAACUGAUAGUGGAUUAAAGAGGCCUCACUGUAACCAGCCUUUAUCUUCUCAGAAGUCUACUUUCUUUUGAUGCUUUCUUUCCUCAGGAGCAUCUUUCAAGUUCUUAUUUGCAGGGCUCCCAGGUAACAUAAAACUAACAGAACAGGUCUAUACAAACCCCAUAGCCAUGGAUCCCACUGCACACUUUCACCCUCUAGAUACAGAAAACCUGGGGAUACCAUUUAACUUCAUAAAACAGAAACAGAGAACAGGACUAAAUAGCACACAGCAAGGUGCCACAAUGGACAGAUGUGCUACUGAGCAUGACAGUGACAGGAGUUUAGGAAAAGGCCACCAUCAUCAGAAACCUCCUCACAAAAGUGGGCCACUAGAUGGGCUUAGGAUGCUGUUUUGUAUUUCAUCAUUACAUCAACUACUAUUUUUUGAGUGUCGUCAGACCACAGGGCUAGGCACUUUAUGAAAGUCAAUUAUUUAGUUCUCAUGGUGAUCAUAUGGGACUAGUUACCAUUACUUGCAUUUUGUAAAUCCAGCAACAAUCUCAGAGGGGUUCCCCAACAUCACACAGCUUAACAAAGUCAUAAUUUGAAUCAUCUGUCUGAUUCCAUAAUCUGUGCUCAUUAGCCCCCUACUCUUCUAUCAGGGCUGCGAUCCACUGAAUUUCCACUGGGUAGAAAACCCACAGAGGUUCUUCCUGCUUGGUCCAGCCUGUCCCUCAGGCUCCAGCUGAAUAAGAAACAACAAGCUAUGUAGAUUUCCUUCCAGCUGCCACCCCUACCACCUCCUUCACCAAGGAAGGACUCCUGCCCCCACACCAGAGCCAGUUACCCAGACAGCCAUUCUCCUUCCACAGGAGGAGCCGGGAGGGGUCCAUCCCUCACAUUGCACCCCAGGGCCUGAGACCCCCUAAACACAUAAAGGUCCAGAUGAUGACUGGAGCAUCUCUUUUCCCCAAGGAGAGCAAUCCAUAAAAUCCUGGGUUAUCAAUAUGUUUCCAACAUUCCAAAAGAUAUGUUUCCCACUGCUCCCAACCACUGGGCUGCUAUCUUUGGCAUCCUCUCUCAUUCAUGAUGAGUAUGUCUCAGAAUGGAGACUUUGCACCUGUACAUCCCUCUCCCUGGAGGCAUUUUCUCCUAGAGACUCAGUAUAGCUUUCUUUCCUCCUCCUCCAGGUCUAUACUCAAAUGUCACUUCCAGUAAGGUCUUCCCCAACCUGUGAUUCUGCAGAUCCCCUUUCCUAUUAUGUUAUUUAUAGUCCUCUUGUCCACCUGAAACUUUGCAUUAAUUUGUCGUCUGUCUCCCCUGUUCCAUGAGAGCAAAGACUUUUCAGUUGUUCCUUACUAUAUCCACAAGUACAUUCAAGGCACUAAAUAAAUGUUUGUUACAGGAGUGAAUGAAUGAAUAAAUGAAUCGAUCAGAAGACAAGUCAGUUGCAGUUUAGGCAAAAGGAAAUAGAAAUGGAAGUAAGCUGGAAACCUACAGGACCAAAUCUGUGUUCUAACCUGUGACGUGUCACUGUCCCUAUAUGCCAAGCACUAUUCUACGUACCAAGAAAUCAGCAUGAACAGAACAGAAAACCAUGCCUUGUUGGAGCUUACUUUCAAUGGCAUAAGACAGAGGGUAAAAAAAGAAAAAAAAAAGAAAAAAAAUAUAUACACACACACAUUAUUUUAGGUAGAAAUAAGCUCUGUGGGGAAAAUUUUAAGCAGGAAAGUAGAAUAAAAAACUGUAGUGGGAAGAAGCGGUGUGCAAUUUUAGAGAAGUCACAAAAGUCCUCAUUGGAGAGGUGACCUUUGAGCAGAGACCUGAGGAGGUGGCAGCAUGAGUCAGCAGCUAUCUGGAGGAAUUGAUCUUCAGACAGAGGACAUGGCGCUGCCUGGAGUGUGUGAAGAACAGUCAGGAGGACCAUGGUUGGAGGAAAGAGAGAGCCAGGGAGAGAAUUUGAAAAUGAGGUCAGAUUAGUAAUGGGGGUGGGGAAGUGUGGCUGGUAGGCCAGUGUAGGGACUUCUACUUUCAGAGUGGAAAGGGAGGACUGGAAGAGCCAAAUGGAAGUCAGGUAAGACAGAAACCUGAUUCUAGUCCUCACCAUGACCCUACAAAGUGGGCACCAUCCUCAGCUCAAAGAACACCAAGAAGCAGGACUUGUUCUCCCUCUCCAACCUCUCCCAACAGUCCUUCCUGUGAGGGAGCUCUGUACUUACUGAAAUUACAUUCCCCUGCUUCAAAUAAAACUUAUUUCCUCUGAGUCUAAACCUAAUAAACAUUUUAAUAAUUACAUUUGGGGCUUUCUAGUUUACAGAAUGCUUUAGGUACAUCCUUUUAUUUAAUCUUACAACCUACCAACACAGAAGAUAGUAUCUUCAUUUUAUAAAAGAGGCACAUAAAGCUCAGUGAACUUCAGGAACUCAGCCAAAGUUACACACUCUGGGAGGGACAGAUUCAGAUCUCCUAUCCUGCUGCUUCACCACAGCUGAGAAGCACCUUCAUUUUUAGUGAUUCUCAAGUGCUUUAUAAAAAAAUGCAUAGUACUUCCUUGGUUUUGUGAGUGACAUAUAGACAAUCUCAUAGACGCUGAUUUUUACAUAUGACAGAAGCUAAUUUAACUGUCACUUCUAAGUGUGAGUGUGGCACUUAGAGCUUGCUGAAAUUUAGUACUCAUGAAUAUAUUAUUAAAAUAGACUGAAGAACCUAAUUCCAUUAUGUACUGAGAAGUCUGUCUGCUGCACAGCGCUCAGAAGCAAUGCAAAUUUCCCACUGAAUAGCAAACGGAAUUCCUGCAAGGUUAGAAUGAGUGGAGGACAUAACCCACUAGGUCUUCACCCCACCUAAGUGUCACCCAGAGGCGAAGAACCACAGCUCUAGGACCACUGUUCCACUCUUUCUUACCCCCAAUCAAAACAAAAAAAAAUUUUUCCAGUCUACAGUCUCUCAUGCAGAACACAAGUUCUGUCAGAUUGUAACAUGGGAAAAAGCUUGGAUUUCUCUGUGACCCAGAAGUCCUCUGCUGCUUUGACCUGAAACACAGUCCCCAAGACUAAAGGGAACAGACACUGGGCCAGAUAGGACAGAGAAUCCCAUCUAAUGGAUAUCAUGUGACUUGGCAACUGGGGCCAGACUGGGUUGUGUAAAGAGAAAAGUAAAGUGAUUAUUAGAUCAAAUUUAUCAGCUGUAGAAAAAUACCGAUCUCUGGCAAAGGAGCCUAUUUGGAAUUAGAACCACAUAAGCAACUUAUUUUUCUUUCUUAUGACUAAUAUGUUUGGAAUUUGUCUUUAUUAAAUAUUUCCCUAAAUCUCCAGGUUAGGAAAUAGUUCUCAGGUUUUUGAAAAAUUCCUCCAAUGGGUAAUUUAGCAAGGGUUGGUUUGAGGGACAGGGAGUGAAUUUCUGAUCAAAUCCAAGAUGAGGUGUGUGCUCCGGCUAGCCCUCUUAAUCCACUGUCCUUCCUGGCACCUUCAUUGUCUCCUCUCUGCCUGACCUACUCUAGAGAAGCUGUUUCCUCCCCAUCUGUACACUCACCAGGCACAGUUCUAGGACACAACUGUGAACAGACCCCACACUACAAUCCUUCCAGAUGUGUGAGUGUAACGAAGAGCCUUUAAACCGAAACAUGGAGGCCAAGUUCCAAUCUUCUCUUUGACUGAUGGUCUCUGGGACUUUUCUGAAAAAAAAUUUCUAAGGUGUCUGCUGGCUCUAACACACUAUAAUCCUGAUGAUUCUCCCAGACCAAUUCUUAGAAAUAAUUUGGUAGGCAAAACAGGGGAGACCAGUGGUGUGAAUGUCCUGUGACCCAGGAGAAAUUCUGUGAUUUAAUUUAAAAAAAAAAAGUACUGAAAAGAGAUCAAAAUUCUCUCUAUGUAACUGUUAAUUAAUCCUUCAUGAUCAAAGAAGUUUGGACAGAUGACAGCUGAGGCUACUGAGGUGUCACCUAUUACUCUGGUUCGAUGGAUAGAAACUCCAGAGACCUGAGAGUGAGACCCAGCUCAGCCCUCAUUGUCUUACCCACUUUUACCUUCAGGGACAUCAUCUGUGAGACGGAUCUAAUAAUACACCUCACGGAGUUGGUUGCAGCAUUUGUUGAAGUAGUAGAGACACCAGUUGUUUGUCAAGUAGUAUUCAUACACAUGGUAGUCACCUAGGAUUAUUAUGAUCUUUUGGCUCCACAAUGAGUUCGGAACCACUAGUCCCCCAGGCUUCUGAGUCGGUGGCACUUGCUCCAGCCAUAAUGUCCUCCCCCCUCCAACUGAGGCACAGUCCUAUUGUGAUUGACUUAACCUGAGCCCUACAGUUAUGUUUCUGCUCACAAUGAUCAUUUGGCAGCUCACAGAAAAACCAAAAUGAUUCCUUUCUCCCUGCAAAAAUACAAUCCUAAAGCAAGAUGUGGAAGGAAGAAAUAGCAGGUUGAGAUAAUAAUAACAGAAAACCUAGGGACUUUCCUAAAUGUCGACACUCAGAAGAUAAUAGACAUCAAACAAGCUGCCACAAUAUAAUGCUUAGACCUCAGAAACCCUUACAAAGUUCUAUGUCUCCAGCUACCCUUAUUCUGCCCCACCCACCCUUUCCAAACAGAUGAACCAGACUAAUAGGGGCAUAUAGUUUCGAGGUUUUUUGUACUGAGACCUAGAGUUGUGCCUGAACAGCGCAGCUCAUCUUUGGAAGCGGUACUGAACUCAUCGUGGAGCCACGUAAGUUGUGCAAGUUACUGUAGCUAGGUGUGCAUAUACCCUUAGAGUUGUUGGAGCCCAGUACUGAAUGAACAGAGCUUCUUGGGAAGCUGGAAGGUUAUAAAUUGGAAAUCCAUCGUUUGUUGCAAAAAGUCAAGGUAAAAGUUGAGGGAAAGUAUAUUAGGGUUCUAUUAAGAAAAUAUUCUGUGUAUGCUUGGAAACUCUGUGCUAAGUCUUGGUAUUGAUAGGUUUUCUAUGACCAUCUAAAAAAUUCCUAGGUCAAGCUUCUGGUUCUGACCUCCAUGAAUAAUAAAUUUGCAAGCUCUAGAUCAGGAGGGUUUCUCCACUGUUUUUGAGGGAAGAGUCAUGG
rnacentral:lncRNA from 1 species